rnacentral:rRNA from 1 species
CGCUGAAGGAGGAGCUUGCUUCUCCGGAUGAGUUGCGAACGGGUGAGUAACGCGUAGGUAACCUGCCUGGUAGCGGGGGAUAACUAUUGGAAACGAUAGCUAAUACCGCAUAAGAGUAGAUGUUGCAUGACAUUUGCUUAAAAGGUGCAAUUGCAUCACUACCAGAUGGACCUGCGUUGUAUUAGCUAGUUGGUGGGGUAACGGCUCACCAAGGCGACGAUACAUAGCCGACCUGAGAGGGUGAUCGGCCACACUGGGACUGAGACACGGCCCAGACUCCUACGGGAGGCAGCAGUAGGGAAUCUUCGGCAAUGGACGGAAGUCUGACCGAGCAACGCCGCGUGAGUGAAGAAGGUUUUCGGAUCGUAAAGCUCUGUUGUAAGAGAAGAACGAGUGUGAGAGUGGAAAGUUCACACUGUGACGGUAUCUUACCAGAAAGGGACGGCUAACUACGUGCCAGCAGCCGCGGUAAUACGUAGGUCCCGAGCGUUGUCCGGAUUUAUUGGGCGUAAAGCGAGCGCAGGCGGUUAGAUAAGUCUGAAGUUAAAGGCUGUGGCUUAACCAUAGUACGCUUUGGAAACUGUUUAACUUGAGUGCAAGAGGGGAGAGUGGAAUUCCAUGUGUAGCGGUGAAAUGCGUAGAUAUAUGGAGGAACACCGGUGGCGAAAGCGGCUCUCUGGCUUGUAACUGACGCUGAGGCUCGAAAGCGUGGGGAGCAAACAGG